rnacentral:rRNA from 1 species
UACGUAGGGUGCAAGCGUUAUCCGGAAUUAUUGGGCGUAAAGAGCGAGCAGGCGGUUCGACAAGUCAGAUGUAAAAUAUCCCGGCUUAACCGGGAGGGGCCAUUUGAAACUGUCGGACUAGAGUGGAGCAGAGGAUAGUGGAAUUCCCGGUGUAGUGGUGAAAUGCGUAGAUAUCGGGAGGAACACCAGUGGCGAAGGCGACUAUCUGGGCUUUAACUGACGCUGAGGCGCGAAGGCCGGGGGAGCAAACAGG